GACGAACGCUGGCGGCGUGCUUAACACAUGCAAGUCGAACGAAGUGGCGAACGGGUGAGUAACGCGUAAUCAACCUGCCCUUCAGAGGGGGACAACAGUUGGAAACGACUGCUAAUACCGCAUACUGAAGGAGGGGAAUGCGUCUGAUUAGCUAGUUGGAGGGGUACCGGCCCACCAAGGCGAUGAUCAGUAGCCGGUCUGGAGAGAUGAACGGCCACAUUGGGACGUAGACCCGGCCCAGACUCCUACGUGAGGCAGCAGUGGGUAAUCUUCCGCAAUGGACGAAAGUCUGACGGAGCAACUCCGCGUGAGUGAUGACGGCCUUCGGGUUGUAAAGCUCUGUUAAUCGGGACGCGGUACCGGAAUAGAAAGCCACGGCUAACUACGUGCCAGCAGCCGCGGUAAUAC
rnacentral:rRNA from 1 species